UCUGCCUGCCUCUGCUUCCAGAAUGCCGGGACUAAAGGCAUGCACCACCACAUUUAGCAAGACUGAUUUCUUGCAAUUCUUAUUCAUGUACAAGUGAGUGACUGGUAGUGUGCCACUUGUAAGCAGUGCCUACGGAGGCCAGAAGAGGGCACUGGAUCCCCUAGGACUGGAAUUACAUAUGGCUGGGACCUGCCAUGUAGCCGCUGAGACCUAAGCCCAGGGUUCUCAGAAGAGCAGUCAGUCCACUUAACCACCAAGCUGCCUCUCCUGCCCCUGUUGCACUUGAACUUGCAGAGAGCUUCCUAUAUGCCUGACUUUAGAAGUACUGAAACAGGCUGGAUGCCAUUACAGGGAUUCCAGCACCAGUCCCAUUUCAGAGACACACAUCGUUCUUCCCUGGCUCACCUGGCUCGGAGCAACCUCAACCGC